rnacentral:misc_RNA from 1 species
AAAUGCGAUACGCAAUGCGAAUUGCAGAAUUCCGCGAAUCAUCAGAUUCUUGAACGCAACUGGCGCUGGAGGGAUAUCCUUCCAGCAUGUCUGUUUCAGUGUCUGAAAACAUCCUAAAUCAUUCUAAUGUGUUUGACAAGGAAUAAAUCAUAUAUAUCUAUUGAUAUUAUAUUUAUCUUCCAAGUCUUACAUGAAAGAUGUAUGUGUGGGUCUUUGGAUCCAUCGAAUUGGUCAUCGAUUUCUUCGGUGAUUUCGAUUGGAUAUUCACCAAUUACUCGUAUACACAUAGAAUAAAAAUAUAUAUAUAUUUAUAUAUAUAAACUUCUUUAUCAUCUGCAUCUGAAAUCAGGCAAGAAAACCCGCUGAACUUAAGC